AAAUCCAGAUAUGAUGUCCAUAUAUGGCACGCUAUAGCCAAAGUCAACGUGUAUUCACAAAACGAAAAGACCGAAUAGGCUCACUUAGUGAGGAGGAAGUUAAGGCAAGACGUACGAUAUUUUAAAGAUAAGGCCAGUGAGAACCAAUUAGAAGCAAUCUUUCUUAUUAGAACUUAAAUAUCUGGGAUACUCGUGAUAACGCUAUUAAUGUCCAACUGGAAAUGCGGUUCUAAUAAGAUCCAGCGUAUCUGAGAUACGGUUGUACAAUAUAGUUCCAGUUAAACCCAAUUGGGCAUACUGUUUCUAAUUGGAUUCGAAAUAUCUGGGAUACGGAUGUACGAGAUAUUGCCAGUGAGACCCAAUUAGAAAUCUUAUCAGAACCGACGUAUCUGGGAUACUGAUGUAUUGGACGUUGGGAUUCCAAGACUUUUUGCCUAUCGUAGACUUAAGAUAUUUCAACAGACAGUCGGACAUGGCCAGAUCGAGUCUUCCAAUUGAUCAAUAAUAUAUACGUAUAGUCGAAAAAUGAAAAGGCUU